GCAUAAUGCCCAACCAUAGUGAGUGCAACGGCCUUCAUUUUCCCUCACAAUGGAUUGGAGGUACCUCUUGGUUCUUCGACUUAUUACAACCGGGAUUAUGCUGCUCAUUUUCUUGCACCCGGCAUCUUCGAAUACUGAACCCAAUUGUCCACCUUGUACUUGCUGCAGACCAUGCAGCUGUGGUCAUAACUGAUUGUACAUCGUUCCAGCAGUCUUCUUGGGAUUACUGUUCCGCAGAAAGCCGAUCACGUCUCCUCUUUUUACGCCAUAUAUAUGUAUUACUCGGUUGCACCGUAGUAAAACAAGAUACUGUUGUAACGAUGGAUGCUGGUGUAUUGAGUAUUUACCUGGCCUAAGACUCGGAGCACUAUGCCAAACUUGUAACGUUGAAUGCUGGUCUCUAUGUAACGAUCUUACUACUAUUCACAAGGGCAUGAGCAAGGUGCUGAGCAUCUACA